GCAUAACACCACAUCUGACGGCCAGCACUUAACCCCAAAAAUUGAAGGGGCAGGAUUUGUUUGUUGAGGGGUUAAAUAAAUGAUGGGUUGCAGCUUGAUGAAAAAAAAAAGAACCCCACUCCCAAAUUCAGUGGUGACCGAAGAAGAAGAAGAAGAAGAAGAAGAAGAGAAGAAAAGAAAAAAAAAAAAAGCUUAGGCCGAAGGAAAUUGGUGGUCUAAAACAGUAUCGACGCACCAGGUCAACGCCGUAUAAACAAGGACGUAGCUUCGGAAGAAGGAAGCCCCCACACCGAGACCACCUGCAUCACCUUUUGUCGAAGAGGUAAGGAUUAUUUACCACCUUACUCUAUCUCAAUAAUUAGUACCCUUAGGCCUCAAAUAUGAGUGAAAAAUGGGUUGAAUAAUUUUCUGUUUUAGCUGAAGGCAUGAACAGUGAUGUAAUACACCCAAUUUUUGGUUUAAAACAGUUAUGCAGUAAGGUUUACCGGUGUCCUCUAAUUGGUAGUUGUAGAUCCUGAAAUGAAUGGUACAAUAGUUUUAAGAUUAGGUACCUGAGUAUGUAAUUUCUGCAUCAAUUAAACGAUGAGCACCAGUGUUCGAAA